UACGUAGGGUGCGAGCCGUUGUCCGGAAUUAUUGGGCGUAAAGAGCUUGUAGGCGGUUUGUCGCGUCUGCUGUGAAAAUCCGGGGCUCAACCCCGGACUUGCAGUGGGUACGGGCAGACUAGAGUGUGGUAGGGGAGACUGGAAUUCCUGGUGUAGCGGUGAAAUGCGCAGAUAUCAGGAGGAACACCGAUGGCGAAGGCAGGUCUCUGGGCCACUACUGACGCUGAGAAGCGAAAGCAUGGGGAGCGAACAGG
rnacentral:rRNA from 1 species